AGAGAGAGAGAGAGAGGUAUCAGCAAUGGAGGCGUUCGAGAAACUAAGAGAAAGCCUCUAUUAAUCAAUUUAAUGUUUAAUUCUAAUUCCAAUUCGUGGGUUUCGGUUUUUUUUAGUAUAGGUUUCUUGUGAUUGCUAUUCAAUUCGCCUAAACGUUGAAAAGAUUGUUUCCAAUUUUGUCAGAAACAACACUGAUCCCAAUUCUCAAGAAAUUCUCAAGAGGACAUUCAAGUUAUAGUCGUUAAGAGUUUAAUGUGGGUGUUGCUUUUUGCUCACGGUCAUGGAAUCUUGCACAGACGUGAAGCUGUGGCGACCGGGCAGGUUCUAUUCCGUCGUUUCUAUUGCAAGAAAUCGUUUGACUGCUUCAAUGUUAAGAACUGAGGCAGGAAGCUUGGAAUCUAGCAAAUGAUAGG